rnacentral:rRNA from 1 species
GGAGCUAGUGGCGGACGGGUGAGUAACGCGUGAGAAUCUGCCUUCAGGAGGGGGAUAACGACUGGAAACGGUCGCUAAUACCCCAUAUGCCUCCGGGUGAAAAGUAAUUCGCCUGAAGAUGAGCUCGCGUCAGAUUAGCUAGUUGGUGGGGUAAGAGCCUACCAAGGCGACGAUCUGUAGCUGGUCUGAGAGGAUGAUCAGCCACACUGGGACUGAGACACGGCCCAGACUCCUACGGGAGGCAGCAGUGGGGAAUUUUCCGCAAUGGGCGCAAGCCUGACGGAGCAAGACCGCGUGGGGGAUGACGGCCUAAUGGUUGUAAACCCCUUUUCUCUGGGAAGAAGACUGACGGUACCAGAGGAAUCAGCCUCGGCUAACUCCGUGCCAGCAGCCGCGGUAAUACGGAGGAGGCAAGCGUUAUCCGGAAUUAUUGGGCGUAAAGCGUACGUAGGUGGUUAUUCAAGUCUGCUGUCAAAGCGUGGGGCUUAACUCCAUAGAGGCAGUGGAAACUGAGUGACUAGAGUGCGGUAGGGGUCGAGGGAAUUCCCAGUGUAGCGGUGAAAUGCGUAGAU